CCACUCCCCACUCUCUCCUCCACUCCCACACACUCUCCUCCUACCUCUCCCCACGAAAUUUCUGCUCCUCCUAGCUUCAUGGCCGGCCAUGGCCAUGGAAAGCUCACCAAGAUGCAGCUCCUUCCUCCCUCAAGCUCAUCCUCACCAUGAGAGCCUCCCCCUCCAUCUUCUCCCCAACCUUAGAUGGUUUAAUCUCCUCUUCUUCUCCCUCCAUUGCUAAGAUUGGAUCUUGAUGCAGGUGCAUGUUGGUCCAAGCAUGGAGAAGGUUGAGCUAUCCUCAGAUCUGAUGUUCUUGAGCAAAAUCCAAAUCGAGUGGUUCAAAGUUCUGCAGAUAGGGGAUACUUAGUUGUGCCAUGGUGAUACCUAGAGAGGCAAUUGCUAAGUCGUGGCACUCUCAUACCUUUACUAGAUGCGAACAAUUUCGGAGGAGAAGAAGAAGAAGUGGAAUCGGACAAGGAUUUUAUUUGUACUGUGGGAAUUCUUAUUUGAUGGAGUUGAAGAAGUCCAGGGACAAAUAAGCCAAGGCAAGCCAUCUCUUGAUCUCUGAAUGUUUGAUCACAUAUUGUGGUUACUUUGUUGUUGUUCUUGUCUCUCGAUCUAUCUUGUGUUGUUUCUACUUAUGUUGAUGGAGCAUGCUCACCAUGAGCAUGUUUAUUCUCUUUGACACCUCACCUACAACCCCCUUUAGUGAAAUG